rnacentral:rRNA from 1 species
GAUGAACGCUAGCUACAGGCUUAACACAUGCAAGUCGAGGGGCAGCAUUUCAGUUUGCUUGCAAACUGGAGAUGGCGACCGGCGCACGGGUGAGUAACACGUAUCCAACCUGCCGAUAACUCGGGGAUAGCCUUUCGAAAGAAAGAUUAAUACCCGAUGGUAUAAUCAGACCGCAUGGUCUUGUUAUUAAAGAAUUUCGGUUAUCGAUGGGGAUGCGUUCCAUUAGGCAGUUGGUGAGGUAACGGCUCACCAAACCUUCGAUGGAUAGGGGUUCUGAGAGGAAGGUCCCCCACAUUGGAACUGAGACACGGUCCAAACUCCUACGGGAGGCAGCAGUGAGGAAUAUUGGUCAAUGGACGGGAGUCUGAACCAGCCAAGUUGCGUGAAGGAUGACUGCCCUAUGGGUUGUAAACUUCUUUUAUAUGGGAAUAAAGUUUUCCACGUGUGGAAUUUUGUAUGUACCAUAUGAAUAAGGAUCGGCUAACUCCGUGCCAGCAGCAGCGGUAAUACGGAGGAUUCGAGCGUUAUCCGGAUUUAUUGGGUUUAAAGGGAGCGUAGGUGGACAGUUAAGUCAGUUGUGAAAGUUUGCGGCUCAACCGUAAAAUUGCAGUUGAUACUGGUUGUCUUGAGUACAGUAGAGGUGGGCGGAAUUCGUGGUGUAGCGGUGAAAUGCUUAGAUAUCACGAAGAACUCCGAUUGCGAAGGCAGCUCACUGGACUGCAACUGAC